AUAUUUGAGAGUUUGAUCCUGGCUCAGGAUGAACGCUGGCGGCGUGCCUAACACAUGCAAGUCGAGCGAUCUCUUCGGAGAGAGCGGCGGACGGGUGAGUAACGCGUGGGUAACCUGCCCUGUACACACGGAUAACAUACCGAAAGGUAUACUAAUACGGGAUAACAUACGAAAGUCGCAUGGCUUUUGUAUCAAAGCUCCGGCGGUACAGGAUGGACCCGCGUCU
rnacentral:rRNA from 1 species